AACGAACGCUGGCGGCAGGCUAACACAUGCAAGUCGAACGGGUGCAGCAAUGCAUCAGUGGCAGACGGGUGAGUAACCCGUGGGAACCUUCCUAGGGGUACGGAACAACUCAGGGAAACUUGAGCUAAUACCGUAUACGUCCGUGAGGAGAAAGAUUUAUCGCCCUUAGACGGGCCCGCGUCGGAUUAGCUAGUUGGUGGGGUAACGGCCUACCAAGGCGACGAUCCGUAGCUGAUCUUAGAGGAUGAUCAGCCACACUGGGACUGAGACACGGCCCAGACUCCUACGGGAGGCAGCAGUGGGGAAUCUUGGACAAUGGGCGCAAGCCUGAUCCAGCCAUGCCGCGUGAGUGAAGAAGGUCUUCGGAUUGUAAAGCUCUUUUGCCAGGGACGAUAAUGACGGUACCUGGAGAAUAAGCCCCGGCAAACUUCGUGCCAGCCGCCGCGGUAA
rnacentral:rRNA from 1 species